GGAAAAGGUGUUUAUUCUUUACUGUUUAUUUACUUUUGACUUGAGCUGCUUGAAAAGGUGUUUUAUGAUUAUGAAAAUUAAAGUGCUGUGAGUGUGCUGAAGCUGAUUUGUUAUUAGAAGGAUAUGGAGAAUCCUGGUGGGAAUGCCUUAUGACUGUUCGUUAAUUGUUUGCCUAGACCUGCAACUUUUUACUAGGAAGAUAUGUCACUCAAAACAAAUUUCUAAGAAUAUAUUACGAUUAAAUAAUUUCUUCGGAAAAGCAUUUGAGAUUAAAGAGGUGCUCUUCUGUCGUAGAGGUGAUAACGACCACAUAAGAAAAAGGCUGCGGAAAAUCAUGACCAAAUCCUGAUACGCUGUGACCGCCCUCCCCAGCCAUCUUAGAGGGAGGGGGGAGGUGUGUUUAGUGGGUAGUCUGUUUCUGUUAGUCCCACACUACCCUUGCAGGAGCAAGGGUGUGCGUAAAUGCAUUCACACCUUCCUACCAAAAAAAAAAAAAAAUGUAUAGGACCUAUAUAUUUAAUUAAAAUAUUUAUUACUAGUCACAGUUAAUUCAAUUGUGGAUUGUAAAGAGUGACGAUAAAUUAA